rnacentral:pre_miRNA from 1 species
GUGUGUGUGUGUGUGUGUGUGUCUAUAUAUAUAUAUAUAUAUAUAUAUACUUGCUUAUAACCUUUGCCAUAAUAUAAAUAAAUACACACACACACACGCUCACACGCUU